rnacentral:rRNA from 1 species
UACGGAGGGGGCCAGCGUUAUUCGGAAUUACUGGGCGUAAAGGGCGCGUAGGCGGUUCGGUCAGUGAGAAGUGAAAGCCCACGGCUUAACGGUGGAGGUGCUUCUCAUACUGCCGAGCUAGAGGAUGGGAGAGGGAAGUGGAAUUCCUGGUGUAGCGGUGAAAUGCGUAGAGAUCAGGAGGAACACCGGUGGCGAAGGCGGCUUCCUGGACCAUGCCUGACGCUGAGGCGCGAAAGCGUGGGGAGCAAACAGG